GUUAAAAGGGAUGUUUAUGACUGGAUGAUUAAGAACAGCCGUUGGAAGGGAUCGAGACUGGCAGCAAAGACCGUCAGAAUAGAGACCCAACUGAAUCAUUUGCACAACCUUUUUCUUAUCUUUCCGUGAGACAAAGUUCAUACAGAGAGAUAAGGAGACACUGCAAAUCAGAAGCUAAGCCUGGAAGAGCCUCCUGCAUUCAGAGAACCUUUGCUGCUACUUCAUUUUCCUAAGGAAACCCAAGCGCAAUACCCACUCAGGCCCAAGAUUUGUAGCUGGUUCUAAAAGGGCAAAGGUUCCCCAUGACUCCAGGCAACAGGAACACACGCAAAAAAAACUCUGUCCCUUUGCUCCAGGCAACUGCUAGACAGAGGGUUGGGGUUCUGUUCUGUGCUGUUUGGGCUUUUUUCCCUCUGGAGGUGUAGUGCCUUUGCUCUUAAAGCAUUCUCAUCUACCUGGGAAAAUCACACAGGGUUACUUCUUGCUCAGCUCGUCAUAUUCAGCCCAUUGCCUUGGAUAGCUGCUGCUUCCAGAGCUACCACUGUCCAAAGACACGUGUCCCAGGGCACCCCACGCUUAGCCCAAGCUAAUAAAUCAAGUGUAUGACUGUCAACUGAUUAAAACCUGCUGAUGUUGCUAUU
ensembl:lncRNA